GAAGCGACCAGACAGUCGCCGCUUCGUCGUCGUCCUUUCGGGAGACGCAUGGAGGGAGGAAAGUCCGGCUCCAUGGGCAGUGGGUGCCAGUAACGCCCGGGGAAACCCACGACCAGGCAACAGAGAGCAAACCGCCGAUGGCCCACGCAGUGGGAUCAGGUAGCGGUGAAAAGGGUGGUAAGAGCGCACCGCGCGGCUGGUAACAGCCCAAACCGCAAACUCCACCCGAGCAAGGCCAAAUAGUUCAUAAGGCCGGCCCGUACAAACUCCGGUAGGCUGCUUGAGCCGUGAGCGACAUUAAGCUGGCCUAGAUGAAUGACCGUCCACGACAGAACCCGCUUAUCGGUCAGCUUCUCAU
rnacentral:RNase_P_RNA from 1 species